GAUGAAGAACGCAGCGAAAUGCUAUAAGUAAUGUGAAUUGCAGAAUUCAGUGAAUCAUCGAAUCUUUGAACGCACAUUGCGCCCGCUAGUAUUCUGGCGGGCAUGCCUGUCCGAGCGUCAUUUCAACCCUCAAGCCCCCGGGCUUGGUGUUGGGGAUCGGCGAGCCUCCGCGCCCGCCGUCCCCUAAAUCUAGUGGCGGUCUCGCUGUAGCUUCCUCUGCGUAGUAGCACACCUCGCACUGGGAAACAGCGCGGCCACGCCGUUAAACCCCCAACUUCUGAACGUUUGACCUCGGAUCAGGUAGGAAUACCCGCUGAACUUAAGCAUAUCAAUAGCGGAGGA
rnacentral:misc_RNA from 1 species